rnacentral:rRNA from 1 species
AACGAACGCUGGCGGCAUGCCUAACACAUGCAAGUCGAACGAGACCUUCGGGUCUAGUGGCGCACGGGUGCGUAACGCGUGGGAACCUGCCCUUAGGUUCGGAAUAACUCCCCGAAAGGGGUGCUAAUACCGGAUAAUGUCUUCGGACCAAAGAUUUAUCGCCUUUGGAUGGGCCCGCGUUGGAUUAGCUAGUUGGUAGGGUAAAAGCCUACCAAGGCGACGAUCCAUAGCUGGUCUGAGAGGAUGAUCAGCCACACUGGGACUGAGACACGGCCCAGACUCGUACGGGAGGCAGCAGUAGGGAAUAUUGGACGAGGAGCGAAAGCCUGAUCCAGCAAUGCCGCGUGAGUGAUGAAGGCCUUAGGGUUGUAAAGCUCUUUUACCCGGGAUGAUAAUGACAGUACCGGGAGAAUAAGCUCCGGCUAACUCCGUG